CUACGGGCGGCAGCAGUCGAGAAUCUUCCGCAAUGCGCGAAAGCGUGACGGAGCAAUGCCGCGUGGUGGAUGAAGGCCUUCGGGUUGUAAACACCUGUCACAUGGGACGAACUUUGACGGUACCAUGAGAGGAAGCCACGGCUAACUACGUGCCAGCAGCCGCGGUAAUACGUAGGUGGCGAGCGUUGUUCGGAUUUAUUGGGCGUAAAGGGUCCGCAGGGGGUUUGUUAAGUCUGAUGUGAAAUCCCGGGGCUCAACCCCGGAACUGCAUUGGAGACUGAUGAACUAGAGUAUCGGAGAGGUAAAUGGAAUUCCUGGUGUAGCGGUGGAAUGCGUAGAUAUCAGGAAGAACACCGAGAGCGAAGGCAAUUUACUGGACGAUUACUGACCCUCAGGGACGAAAGCGUGGGUAGCGAACAGGAUUAGAUACCCGUGUAGUC
rnacentral:rRNA from 1 species